rnacentral:rRNA from 1 species
UUACGAGGUCAGGACACUGUGAGGAUUGACAGAUUGAAAGCUCUUUCUUGAUUCAGUGGGUGGUGGUGCAUGGCCGUUCUUAGUUGGUGGAGUGAUUUGUCUGGUUAAUUCCGUUAACGAACGAGACCUUAACCUGCUAAAUAGUCACGCGAACCGGUCCGCAAGGGCUCAAAGUUCGCGGCUCGACUUCUUAGAGGGGCUAUUCGCACCCGCCAGCGAAUGGAAGUUUGAGGCAAUAACAGGUCUGUGAUGCCCUUAGAUGUUCUCGGCCGCACGCGCGUUACACUGACGGAGUCAACGAGCGUUUUUCCUUGCCCGAUAGGGCUGGGUAACCUCCUGAAACUCCGUCGUGAUGGGGAUAGAUCAUUGCAAUUAUUGAUCUUGAACGAGGAAUUCCUAGUAGGCGCGAGACAUCAACUCGCGCCGAUUACGUCCCUGCCCUUUGUACACACCGCCCGUCGCUCCUACCGAUUGAACGGUCCGGCGAGAACUCCGGAUGGUC